rnacentral:rRNA from 1 species
GAUGAACGCUAGCUACAGGCUUAACACAUGCAAGUCGAGGGGCAGCAUGAACUUAGCUUGCUAAGUUUGAUGGCGACCGGCGCACGGGUGAGUAACACGUAUCCAACCUGCCGAUGACUCGGGGAUAGCCUUUCGAAAGAAAGAUUAAUACUCGAUGGCAUAGUUCUUCCGCAUGGUAGAGCUAUUAAAGAAUUUCGGUCAUCGAUGGGGAUGCGUUCCAUUAGGUUGUUGGCGGGGUAACGGCCCACCAAGCCUUCGAUGGAUAGGGGUUCUGAGAGGAAGGUCCCCCACAUUGGAACUGAGACACGGUCCAAACUCCUACGGGAGGCAGCAGUGAGGAAUAUUGGUCAAUGGACGAGAGUCUGAACCAGCCAAGUAGCGUGAAGGAUGACUGCCCUAUGGGUUGUAAACUUCUUUUAUACGGGAAUAAAGUGAGGCACGUGUGCCUUUUUGUAUGUACCGUAUGAAUAAGGAUCGGCUAACUCCGUGCCAGCAGCCGCGGUAAUACGGAGGAUCCGAGCGUUAUCCGGAUUUAUUGGGUUUAAAGGGAGCGUAGGCGGACGCUUAAGUCAGUUGUGAAAGUUUGCGGCUCAACCGUAAAAUUGCAGUUGAUACUGGGUGUCUUGAGUACAGUAGAGGCAGGCGGAAUUCGUGGUGUAGCGGUGAAAUGCUUAGAUAUCACGAAGAACUCCGAUUGCGAAGGCAGCCUGCUGGACUGUAACUGACGCUGAUGCUCGAAAGUGUGGGUAUCAAACAGGAUUAGAUACCCUGGUAGUCCACACAGUAAACGAUGAAUACUCGCUGUUUGCGAUAUACAGUAAGCGGCCAAGCGAAAGCGUUAAGUAUU